AACAAUGCAUUGAUUGGGAAGAGUAAAGUGGUGCUGUUUUCACAAGAGAGGGAACGUUUGGUGAGAGUUUCCGUUAACACACAUUUGAAUGUCGCCCAUGAGCAGUUUCUGUGAACCUGUAAGUAGCAGAAACCGGUUAAAAGCCGUUAUAUAAACUUGAGAGCGUGAUGAUUUUUUUGUCAUCUGCGAAUAAAGGUGGUACCGCGAACAACUCCUUCGUCCUUUUU
rnacentral:ncRNA from 1 species